CGGAAAAAUAAAAUUGCGUGCACAAAAACAGAGGCACAACCUCACGAGUGCGCGUAUUGCAACAUGUUAUUGUUUAUAACAAAUUUUUAGUAAAGUAAAGAAUAACCGACGGUACAAGUUGAGCCAUAGUGAUUUCAUCCUCGAGGUGCGGUGGUUUUUACACAAAACCGUCAUAAAAGUAUUUUUGUUGAUUGUCGACUGAGAUUAACUUUACAAACAACGAUAUACGUCAUACGCGAUGGCGCAAAAAGCGAAGAUAACAACGCGGCAACGCGCGUGCUAUAGGUAUUUAAUGGAAAUACGUGAUGUUACACCUAAAAGGUAAUACCUACACGACACGAUGCAUCUAAACAGAAUCUACAGAUACUUGAAAUUCCAGCUCAGAAGGUUUUCCAACGACAAGAAGUAGAAGUAGGAUGCACACAGUGGAAUGAUUGUUCCAUCAAUUGGAUGAAAACGAAUAAUACCUACAUGCACACAGCAAUUGAAUCAAGGUCCUCUUGGCAAUACGUAUAUGGUAAAAAAUUAACUUCCGGCACUCAAGAGGAAGGAAAAAGCCUAACGCAGCCAUUAGACCAUACAUACAUAUAGUAUAGGUACACAGAGAGACGUUGGCCUGGGAAAGAGGAAAAGGGCAAGAUCGUUACGACGCAGCAGCCCGGGCGCGUCUGUAGGUAAAGAUGGAAUCACACGAGGAUAUUUCCAGGAACGCCUUUGCGAAUUCCCGUUCGUAAUACUUAAAUUGGACGUUGAACAUCAAGACUUCUGGGCGAAUCAAAAAUACCAGCAAAUACGAAGAGACCGGAAAUACCAGAGGGAACCCCCUUAGCCGAUGUAUAUAACAUGCCAUCUGACCCGAUGCGUAUUUUUUGCUUUGAUGUUGUUCGCAGGGCGUGUGUGCAUGAGCGUUCGUUGGCGUUUGAGUCUUUGCAUACGUGGUGAAAUGUUAUGCAAUGGUAAAAUUAGUUAUUACUCCCGCACACGUGUCUUGCGAUGAUUUUUUUUUCCUUUUGUUUCGUUU